AGAUAAGACCAGACUUAGAGGAUUUCGAGAACAUUUCCUAAUAUGACUUUUUCAGGACAAGAUCACAAGCCAGGAGGAAAUGGAGAUUACUUUUGCCAGUGCUAACAAGUUUGGACAAAUCUGUAGGAGAAAGAAGGAUCAACAGUAUCUCCUGAGAGCAGAAAAGAAGGUGCUGAUAGACAGAGUGGAAUACACCUUUGGGUUUUUGAGGAUCUUGCUUGGAAGAGACUGAUUUGACAUGCUCUUGACAUGAAUUCUCUUCCUACCCAGAUUUACACUCCCACCUGCCAACGCAUGCUGUCCUGAUUUCCCUUCCUGGUGAGCCUGAGCACAUGAAGCCAUCAUAAGCUUAAACUUAUUACAGGCCAGAACUGCAGUGACCAUGACUGGUCUUUUUUUUCCAACAACAACAUAAAACUACUUACUUUAAGUUGCAUUAAAUAACCAAUAGUCACAUUUUAACCGAGAUUAAAA